AUAAGUUUUACUUGCACGUGCACGCAUGAUGGCUUACGCUCGAUCAGAUCACGAUUUAGUAGUUCGAAAUGUGUUGUUAUGCUGACAGAUCGUGGGAAUUGCGCUUUCUCUGCGAGCAGUUACCACACUGAAAAUCGACUUUCUCGAGAAAAAUUGACUCCAGAAAAGCUUUACGUGAUGCAGUUAUUAUGCAAGGCGGCAGAGGAUGUGUGAAGAAUAUUGGAAGGUGGAUCAGGGAAUGACAUGUCAAAGUACUCUCUAGCAAAAUCUAGCGACUGCUGUGACAUUUUUACCAGAUAUUGAGAUUUAUAAUGUCUGUUUACCAGUUUACAAUGCUGUAUACG